UAUUUCAACAACUAGAAAAAUCGUAAAUUAUUAAGGUCAAUGUCGGGAGGCAAGACGUAUAGGAUAAAAAAAAACCUUCUCUUUAUAACCUUUUUUUUUCCAAUUGAAGCCCAUUAUGUUCGAUGUACCUGCGUUCGAACGUAAUGUCAUUAGAAAUAUCGAGUAAGAAACAUCUACUUUCUGAGAAAAAUCGAAAAAAAUAAACGAAUUUAGUAAAAACGGAAUAUGUUUUGUUGCAUUGUUAUUAUUGUAAUCAUACAAUACUACACAAUACGUAGUAAUCGCUUGGCAGAGUAUUGAAAUGAAUUUCGUAGAUGCCUACGCAGCGGUAAUUUUUUUUUUUUAUUAUCUUGUACGGGCGUUUAUUUUUUUCCCCGUCGGUGCACUGAUCAUAAACCAUUAUCGAGAAUUUAUUAUUUCUGACGGAAAUUCGACUACACGUAUAUAAGCUAUAAUCUUGCACGAAAACCUUCAAAUUUCUAAAAAGAUUUCGGUGUACAUUGGAGAUGAUUGUUACUACAAAUACGACACGGCUCGUUUGAAAAUCGAACAUGCGUGCUUAUUCUUCACAUCAUUUAUUAUAGACGAUGUAUCUAAAUCCAUAAAAAUAUUUUAAAUGGUACGCAAUAAUAAUAAAUAAAUGUACUGGAGAAAAAACCUAACGACCAUAAAUUAUUAUGUUUAAGUCCGAUUAGAAUUCCGUUAUAUUGUUUAACUGUGAUUCUCGACUUGUUCACUUCACAAGUAAAAAUAAAUCAAACUUUUCAAAAUAAAAUAAUAAAAGUCUGAAUAAUAUUUUAAAUUUAUGUAUCCGUCAAAUCUUGAACACGAAUGAAUAUACUUAAAUUAAAUGUUGGAAUGCAACCAAUUGUUUCAACAAAUUAGCAUAUUAUCCGAUUGAUUUUAUCAUAUUUUUUAGAAAAAACGAAAAACUAAGAAAAAUCUAUGCUUAUCGGAUAUUCGAUGUUGCAACUAUUGCGGUAGAACCUUUCACAAAGACAUUAACCAUAUGACCAUGUAUGAUGAUUUAUUAUAGUAAAUGAUAUGAUAGUUUUUAAAUACCUUUGAUUCAUCUAUGUUUGGGAUUCAAUUUCUUAUAGUUUUCAAAUAGGUACCUAUUUGAAAACUAUGUUAAAAAUUAAAUCUUGAAAAUUACUAAAUGGUUUAACCUAUAAAUAUGACGGUUUAAAUGGCUUAAGUCUUAAAAUAAUGAAUUAUGUUUUUUUGUCAAACAAAAAGUACCUACAUCAUUAAUGACUAAAGAUGAUGCGUUGGAAUACCUACACUAAUACUUUUGCCAUUUAGACUGAAAAAAAAAGGAAAACAAAUAAAUACAUACGAUAAAAUCCUGAAAACAAAUACCAAAAAUUGACUUAAGUCCUUCCCUAGAACCAAAUAUAUAGUAGUGUGAAUUUCUAUAGAAACGUCUGUAAAAGUACGUCAUGACAGUAAAAUAUGGAGCGAAUAUACAUACGAUAUUGUGAUAGUUUUUUUUAUGAUAGGUUAGAUUAGGUUAAGUUGAAGUGGACUCUAGUGUUCACGGUUCAACAGUCGCUAUCGGCUUGUUCACACUACGAUUCAAAUAGUUAUCAAGUAUCAUAGUUCAUUGCAACUACCGCGAUAGUAUAAAUUACAACCAUCAUCGUUAACAUAUAAUAUAGACAGUACCAAUAUCAAUAUGCGACACAUUAGCGAUAACAAAUAGUGUAAACGACAUUAAUAUUAGGUAUACAACAAAUGAUUACAUUAACAUAUUAUUUUAUAUAUUAUUAUAAUACUUAUA